CAAAUAAGCAUUUUUCUUGGUUUUCGCACCAUAACUUUAGUAUAAGUAAAUAGAAAUCUAUGAAAUUUAAACACAAGGUUUAUGACCAUAAAAAGGAAGGUUGGUAUUGAUUUUGGGAGUUUUGGUCCCAACAGUUUAGGAAUAAGGGGCCCAAAGGGUCCAAAAUUAAACUUUGUUUGAUUUCAUCAAAAUUGAAUAAUUGGGGUUCUUUGAUAUGCCGAAUCUAACUGUGUAUGUAGAUUUUUAAUUUUUGGUCCCGUUUUCAAAUUGGUCUACAUUAAGGUCCAAAGGGUCCAAAAUUAAACUUAGUUUGAUUUUAACAAAAAUUGAAUCCUUGGGGUUCUUUGAUAUGCUGAAUCUAAAAAUGUACUUAGAUUUUUUAUUAUUGGCCCAGUUUUCAAGUUGGUCCAAAUCGGGGUCC
rnacentral:lncRNA from 1 species